AUAACUUUAGGACAUAAUUUUAUACUUAUUACAUUGAUUCGAUCAAUAAAAAGAUAUGUUUAUUUUUCAUUCAAGUGUGAUAUAUUCUUGAAUUAAUUUUUGAUACAUAUUCUCAAAGUAUUGAGAAUUAGAGACAUAUAUUUGAUUCCUAAAUGCUCUCGAUCAAUGAAUUAUCAUGAGGACAGUGAUCGAUCCGGAUAGACUAACGCACCGAUUACUUUUUUUGGGAU
rnacentral:lncRNA from 1 species